AUGGACAAUUUGGACAGAAAAACAAGAAAACUCAUGACCAUUCAUCAUUCACUGCACCCUCGCAGUGAUGUUGACCAUCUAUAUCUGCCUAGAAGAUCUGGUGGCAGAGGACUCUUACAAGUAAAACAAGCAGUCAAAGAAGGAGAACAUACCCUGGCAGAAUAUGUAAAGCAAAGUGAAGAACCUGCUUUGAUUGAAGUCAAAAAUCAGAAACUCCUCAAAGCACAACAGACAAAAAACCAGUACAAGAAAACUGCACUACAAACUAGAGCUGACAGCUGGCACAACAAAACAUUGCAUGGAAAGUUUCUUGACAAAAUUGAAGGAAAAGCUGACAAGGAGAACACCUGGCUAUGGCUCACGAAUGGGACCCUGAAGAAGGAGACAGAAGGCCUGAUCCUUGCAGCCCAGGAGCAAGCCAUCAGAACAAAUGCAAUUAAGACCAAGAUCGAAAAAUCAGCUGAUGACCCAAAAUGCAGACUGUGCAAGGAAGCUGACGAAACCAUUAAUCAUAUCCUCAGCUGUUGUAAGAAAAUCGCACAGACAGACUACAAACAGAGGCACAACUAUGUGGCCCAAAUGAUUCAUUGGAACUUAUGCCUCAAGUACCACCUCCCAGCAAUAAAGAACUGGUGGGAACAUAAACUUGCAAAGGUCGUGGAAAAUGAACACGCAAAGAUACUGUGGGACUUCCGAAUCCAGACUGACAAAGUUCUGGAACAGAACACACCAGACAUCACAGUUGUGGAAAAGAAAAAAGUUUGGAUCAUUGAUGUCGCCAUACCAGGUGACAGUCGCAUUGACGAAAAACAACAGGAAAAACUCAGUCGCUAUCAGGACCUCAAAAUUGAACUUCAAAGACUCUGGCAGAAACCAAUACAGGUAGUCCCAGUGGUGAUCGGCACACUGGGUUCCGUGCCAAAAGAUCUCAGCUGGCAUUUGGAAACAACAGAUAUUGACAAAAUCACGAUCUGCCAAUUUCAAAAGGCCACCCUACUGGGAUCUGCGCACAUCAUCCGAAAAUACAUCACACAGUCCUAA
rnacentral:lncRNA from 1 species